rnacentral:rRNA from 1 species
UACAGAGGUGCCAAGCGUUACGCGGAAUCACUGGGCUUAAAGCGCGUGUAGGCGGGUCGUUAAGUGUCCGCGUGAAAUCCCACGGCUCAACCGUGGAACUGCCGGGCAUACUGGCGAUCUUGAGGCAUUCAGGGGCGAGCGGAACAAAUGGUGGAGCGGUGAAAUGCGCAGAUAUCAGGAGGAACACCGAUGGCGAAGGCAGGUCCCUGGGCAUUAACUGACGCUGAGGAGCGAAAGCAUGGGGAGCGAACAGG